AAGGAGGAGUCUGAGUAUGAAACCAGCCGGCCCUCCUACAAGCUGUCAAUACACAAAUAAAUGUCACAUAACUAGGCACCACAUCAUGACUUUCACUAGUCAUCUCCUCAAACAAACGCAAUGCCAUAUCUGCACACCCUUGAUGAGCAUAACCACCCAUUACUGCAUUCCAAGUUAUCAAAUUCCUCUCGGGCAUUUCAUAGAAGGCGCUCUCACAAUUUUCUAUGCUACCACAUUUACCAUACAUGUCAACAAGUGCACUGCCAACAAAUACGUUAUGCUCGAUACAAGCCUUUACUGCAAGACCAUGAAUAGACCUCCCCA
rnacentral:misc_RNA from 1 species